GGGGAUGUUACGGAUUCGACGGGGCUAUUUGAGCUUAAGAAGCAGGUCGAGCUUGCAUCUCGUUAAACUGUCGAGGUUUAAUAACCGGAAAAACAAACAAAACUGCUAGUUUUAACAACCUAGCACUAGCUGCGUAAUAUAUUCGUAGCGCUCCAUUCGUCUAUCGCCCAUGUAGCCGUUUAGGAGCCCAGACUUAGUGGGAUACGCCUAAAACUGCCGUUUGAGGUAUUAGGAAGAGACUUCGCGAACUCGCUAGUUAGGUCGCCUGUCUGUUGGCAACUUACUAGUUAAACUUUAAUAGAUAGACUAAGCCUGUAGAAACUUGAGUGAUCGGUAUCUUCGGACGCGGGUUCGACUCCCGCCAUCUCCACCA
rnacentral:tmRNA from 1 species